rnacentral:piRNA from 1 species
GCACUCGGGAGGCAGGUGGAGCUCUG